rnacentral:rRNA from 1 species
GACGAACGCUGGCGGCGUGCUUAACACAUGCAAGUCGAACGGAAAGGCCCCUUUGGGGGUACUCGAGUGGCGAACGGGUGAGUAACACGUGAGUAACCUGCCCUUGACUUCGGGAUAACUUCAGGAAACUGGGGCUAAUACCGGAUAGGAAUCCUUGCUGCAUGGGGGGGGUUGGAAAGCUUCGGCGGUUUUGGAUGGACUCGCGGCUUAUCGGCGUGUUGGUGGGGUAGUGGCUUACCGAGGCUUCGACGGGUAGCCGGCCUGUGAGGGCGACCGGCCACCCUGGGACCGAGGUGCGGCCCCGGUUCCUACGGGUGGCCGCUGGGGGGAAUCUUGCCCAAUGGGCGCCAGCCUGGUGCAGCAGCGCCGCGUGCGGGAUGACGGCCUUCGGGUUGUAAACCGCUUUCAGCAGGGGCGAAGCUUGUGGUGACGGUACCUGCAGAAGAAGCACCGGCUAACUACGUG